GAGUUUGAUCGUGGCUCAGAUUGAACGCUGGCGGCAUGCCUUACACAUGCAAGUCGAACGGCAGCACGGGAGCUUGCUCCUGGUGGCGAGUGGCGAACGGGUGAGUAAUGCAUCGGAACGUAUCCUGGAGUGGGGGAUAACGUAGCGAAAGUUACGCUAAUACCGCAUAUUCUGUGAGCAGGAAAGCGGGGGACCUUCGGGCCUCGCGCUCUUGGAGCGGCCGAUGUCGGAUUAGCUAGUUGGUGAGGUAAAGGCUCACCAAGGCGACGAUCCGUAGCAGGUCUGAGAGGAUGAUCUGCCACACUGGAACUGAGACACGGUCCAGACUCCUACGGGAGGCAGCAGUGGGGAAUUUUGGACAAGUGGGGGCAACCCUGUUCCAGCCAUGCCGCGUGAGUGAAGAAGGCCUCGGUUG
rnacentral:rRNA from 1 species